rnacentral:rRNA from 1 species
CAGUCGCCACGGUAAUACGUAGGUGGCAAGCGUUGUCCGGAAUUAUUGGGCGUAAAGCGCGCGCAGGUGGUUUAAUAAGUCUGAUGUGAAAGCCCACGGCUCAACCGUGGAGGGUCAUUGGAAACUGUUAAACUUGAGUGCAGGAGAGAAAAGUGGAAUUCCUAGUGUAGCGGUGAAAUGCGUAGAGAUUAGGAGGAACACCAGUGGCGAAGGCGGCUUUUUGGCCUGUAACUGACGCUGAGGCUCGAAAGCGUGGGGAGCAAACAGGAUUAGAUACCCCGGUAGUCCCUGUCUCUUAUAC